rnacentral:rRNA from 1 species
GUGCCAGCAGCCGCGGUAAUUCCGGCAGCCCGAGUGAUGGCCGAUCUUAUUGGGCCUAAAGCGUCCGUAGCUGGGUCUGAAAGUCCAUCGGGAAAUCCACUCGCUCAACGAGUGGCCGUCCGGUGGAAACUCCACACCUUGGGACCGGAAGGCUCAGAGAGUACGUCCGGGGUAGGAGUGAAAUCCCAUAAUCCCGGACGGACUACCGAUGGCGAAAGCACUCUGAGAAGACGGCUUCGACAGUGAGGGACGAAAGCUCGGGUCUCAAACCGGAUUAGAUACCCCGGUAGUCC